rnacentral:tRNA from 2 species
GCGCGAGUGGCGGAAUUGGUAGACGCGCUGGCUUCAGGUGCCAGUGGCCGCAAGGUCGUGGGGGUUCAAGUCCCCCCUCGCGCAC